rnacentral:sRNA from 1 species
AUGAGCCUUGUGCAGAGCAAGCUCAUGUCUUGGAAAGCUCUAGAGGAGCAAUACACCAAUUCCAAUGGGAAACACUUACUACCAUAUGGUUGUAGCGAGUCACCAAGGAGGAAGAAUUCAAGACCAAGCGAUAAUGAAGAUGAGCAGGUAGAAAGAGUGACUGGAAAUGACACAUAUCAGAAAGGGGAGAUAGAUGCAGGGGUAUGCAAUGGAACUAAUGGUAGUGAGGGGUCAGGUGGUAGCGAGGGGUCAAGUGGUAGUGAGGAUUCAAGUGGUAUACAAAUAGAGGUGUCUAGUGAGACGUCAUGUGAAUUAGACAGGGAGGGGUCAGAAGAAACUGUUGAAGAAAAGGGUGCAGUUGUUGAAAGUCCAUGUGAUGAAGACAAAGGAAAUGAUCAAGCGUAUGCUGGACAGGAAUCAGUUUGUCCAGAUGAUGAAACUUCUUCAGCCGAAGUUGUCAACAUUACCCCACAAGAUCCUACUGCUAAUGUGGUUCGAAGGCGAAAAUCUCCGUCACCUAGGCCGGAACGACCCAAGUCGGAAAUCAGCGUCAGAUGGGCAGAUCUGGAAGAACCAGGGGAGGUCGCUCCUGUCAAAAGGCGGGAAUCAUCCCGCAAAUCCAAGCAAAGGCCCAAAUCAGACCUAGAGGACAAUGUUCAGAUGUUUGAUGAAAUGUACGAGGAGGUUAUUGACGACUAUGAUUUUCUGACAGGUAGUGGGAGCUCCAUAGGGGAAGAAGAUAUGAAGCCAUUUGGGAGCCAGAUAUGCUUGCUGCCCUACAGCUCUCUACAAAAUUUGGAGAAGUAUGGACAUCUGUACAGUUAUGAACAAAAACCAAGCAUGAGAAGGCUGUUGUCAGAGAUUACAGAGCAUGGGGAAGUCAACGGGAAUGAUGGAGGACUUAACCUAAACAAGCAAGGACAAAACAGUGAUACUUGUCUGAUCCCAGUGAAAGAUAAAAAGGCUGCAGCCAGUAGCCCCCUCGUCUCACAGAGAAAUGUGUUCAACAGAAGUCAGAGUCUGCCCACAACUUCCUUGUCCAACACAUCACAACAUCGAAUCAAUCUACAGAAACGGCCAUUUUGUGAUAGAGACCAAUUACGAAGAGGAGGAAGGUCUUACUCAGAGGCCAAUUUGACAGGCAAAUAUAAUUCUGAAAGUUCAAAGUUGUAUGAUGAGGAUGAAGACAUUGAUGUGUUCAUGAAAAAUGAAAAUGAUGUGACUGUGAUUGAGAAUAACAAUGAUGGUUCUUCGCCAAAACUGGCAUGUGCUUGUGAAGCGGUCGGACAAGACACGAGGACCAGGAUGGUGAAAACAGAAAGUCCCGUCCUUUAUCUGUGGAUGAGAGUCAAUUACAAACCCACAGAGUGGAAUCAGACUCAGAGGAAAAGUCCCAUAUGACAACAGAGAGAAAGAGACCCAGUGAAAAUGUGAAACGACGAAGUGCAAGUUUUAGGGAGUUGGGA